rnacentral:lncRNA from 1 species
UUGAUGUUUCAUGUGGAUACCUUUUAUAGUCAUUUAUAUAGUAUGGGGUUUUCUCAAUGUUGAAGGCCAUGCUUGUGUCUACAAUUCUUGACACCCAUUACAUUUGACAUCUGAAGGACACUUUUUUUUCUGGCAAUCAUAAAACAUCUCUUACUUUUAUAUCAGUCAUGUUUUCUAAAGCGAAAUCAGAACCAGUAACUUAAAGUAAAGACUACAGUAUAACCAGCAGUCAUUGAUUAUUAAGUUUAAUUACGG